UUAGGACAGGAAAUUAGCAGGUUCCUCUACCACACAGGUCAUGCUCUCUUCUCACUGCUGCCCUCAGGUAGGUAGUACAGGAGCUUCAGGACUCAUACCAGCAUUAGGCUCUUGAACCAAAGGGGGUAACUUUAUUCAACUUCACUUGCCUCAUCAUUGAAAUGUUCCCAUGAUCCAUGGAGUCACCUUGAAGGACUCUUCAUCUCAGUUUUGCAGCAAUCUUUCGGCAUUCAAAAGAGAAAGGAAAAGCAGGAGUUUGCUGUUUUCAGCAGUUCAAGAAGUUUUCAAUGUAACUGAGACAUCUUAACAAGAAUCAAGAAAACUAACAGUGACUGCAAUCAGCAACCCAGGCUCUUAGAUGGCAUUACUUGAAGAAAGAAUAAAGAGGACAGACCACAACCAGUUUCUUAAACUAUUUCAGGAUGUGGGUAUUCGAUAAAAGAAAAGGUUGUGACCUCCAACCUUCCUCUGGAGAAAGGAGUCUAUUACUCGAGCUGAAACUCCAUUGCAGAAGACAGGAAGCACUCUGCCAUUGUGCUACUGUCUUUCAGAUAGACGUGGAACCAAGGCCACAUCUGCCCUUCCAAGUGGAUGUAAUGGACUGUAACUUGAAGAACAUUUGAUGGGUUCUACCCAUGUCCUGGUCAAGAAUGAACUCUUAGCGAACAUCUGAAAUGGCUGAUCCAGUCAUUCCUAUCACUGUUUCUAUGAGGCUACUCUUAACAACCCAUUUUCCACAUUAAAAAAGAAACUAAAUUUCAGAAAAUACUUCUUUAUUGUAGAGUACU